UUCUACGGGUGAGUAAAGGAUGUAACUAUUCGCCGAGAGAGGAGCCUGCGUCCUAUCAGCUUGUUGGUGGGGUAAUGGCCUACCAAGGCAGUGACGGGUAGCCGGUGUGAGAGCACGAUCGGCCACAAGGUAACUGAGACACGGUGCCUACACCUACGGGUGGCAGCAACUGGGAAUCUUGCGCAAUGGACGAAAGUCUGACGCAGCGACACCGCGUGUGGGAUGAAGCAUUUCGGUGUGUAAACCACUGUGGCGAGGGAGAAAGAUCUGAUAGUACCUCGCUAGAAAGCACCUGCUAACUACGUGCCAGAAGCCUCGGCAAUACGUAGGGUGCAAGCGUUAUCCGGAUUUACUGGGCGUAAAGGGUUUCGCAGGCGGAUUGUUAAGUCAUGUUUGAAAGCUAACGGCUCAACCGUUUAGUUGGACAUGAUACUGGCAAUCUUGAGGACAUCAGGGGAGACUGGAAUUCUCGGUGGAGGGGUGAAAUCCGUUGAUAUCGAGAGGAACGCCAAUGGCGAAGGCAGGUCUCUGGGGUGUUCCUGACGCUCAGGUACGAAAGCUAGGGUAGCAAACGGGAUUAGAGACCCCGGUAGUCCUAGCCGUAAACGAUGAACACUAGCUUCUCGGGAGCAAUCUUGGGAGGCGUAAGCUAACGCGUUAAGUGUUCCGCCUGGGUAGUACGGUCGCAAGGCUAAAACUCAAAGGAAUUGACGGGGGAGCGCACAACCAGUGGAGCAUGUGGUUUAAUUCGAUACGAAGCGAAGGACCUUACCUGGGUUUGACAUGUAUCUGCACGCCUAGCGAAAGCUAGGAAGCCUUCGAGGGUGAUACACAGGUGUUGCAUGGCUGUCGUCAGCUCGUGUCGUGAGACGUCUGCUUAAGUGCAGUAACGAGCGCAACCCUUGCCGUGUGUUGAAUAUUCACACGGGACUGCCUUACAGCAAGUAGGGAGGAAGGAGAGGACGACGUCAAGUCAGCAUGACCCUUACAUCCAGGGCAACACACAUCCUACAAUGGGAAAGAUAAUAGGUUGCGACCCAGCAAUGGUGAGCUAAUCCCCAAACUUUCCCUCAGUUCGAAUUGGGGGCUGAAAUUCGCCCCCAUGAAGUCGGAAUUGGUAGUAAUCGCAGGUCAGCAGACUGCGGUGAAUACGUUCUCGCUCCUUGUACACACUGCCCGUCAAGCCAGCAAAGUCGGCAGAUCCCGAAGCGGAUGUCCCUAACCAAGUUUACUUGGGAGGGCUCUUCUAAGGAUAGGUCGGCGAUGAGGACUAAGUCGUAACAAGGU
rnacentral:rRNA from 1 species